GCUGUGGCUCAGUGGUAGAGCAUUUGCCGUGCAUUCAGAGAAGGUCCCAGGUUCAACCUCUGGCAUCUCCA
rnacentral:tRNA from 1 species